rnacentral:rRNA from 1 species
AACGUAGGGGGCGAGCGUUGUCCGGAAUUACUGGGCGUAAAGAGCUCGUAGGCGGUUUGUCGCGUCUGCCGUGAAAGUCCGGGGCUCAACUCCGGAUCUGCGGUGGGUACGGGCAGACUAGAGUGAUGUAGGGGAGACUGGAAUUCCUGGUGUAGCGGUGAAAUGCGCAGAUAUCAGGAGGAACACCGAUGGCGAAGGCAGGUCUCUGGGCAUUAACUGACGCUGAGGAGCGAAAGCAUGGGGAGCGAACAGG